rnacentral:rRNA from 1 species
AUGCUACAGCUCACAAGGUUGAAACUGGAAGCAAGCGUGGUAGUGCUAACCGUGCAUCGCGGGGGCAGGACAAACAUCAUGCAGGCUUCGAGGUCAACACGCGCACGCAAGACUAGCAGAGCCAAGACCCACUUUCCCCGGCUGGCUGAGAUUUUAAAUAUGCCGCAACCGGGCAACGAUCAGCUCACACAUCACGCGGAGUCUCGAGGAGCAGCUCUCCUACUGUCACACUGCCUACUACUCGAACUGUACGCUAUUACCGGUGUAGUUCAGUGCUCUCUGCUGUCUGCUCCGCCUACGUACACAGCUCGAUCGAUCGAUGAUGUACCGGAGGAUAGCCGCCCGGCUGCUCGUCGUCGUCGCCGCCGCCGUCCUACUAUCCCUGCUGCUGGCCACCUGCGCGGCCGCCCCGCAUGGCCUGCCGCCGCCGCCGCGUCCUCCUCCGGUGCUGCUCCUAGGCGGCGGCCGGAGCCCGGCGCGCGAGGGGAAGGAGCUGGAUCUGGGAACGCCCGCGAGGCGGCUGGGGCAGCAUACAUCGACGAAUGUGCCUCCCUCGCCGAAACCCCACGGCAACCCGGGGUCGGCGGGGCCCGACCCGCCGCCGCCGCCGCCGUCGAGCAACGAGUAGGGCGAGGAGGCUCCGUGGUACCAGCACGCGACGGUGGCCGUGGGUUUCGGUACGAUGUAUCAUGUAUGGUACUCCAUGUACAAGGGACGGCUAGCUGCAUGUCAUGUACGAGAACACUUUCGCCAGUGUACAAGUCAAUAAGCUCGUUUCGAAAAGAAAAAAAAUGCCAAUAA